rnacentral:lncRNA from 10 species
UUCUCCUGCCCAGGCUUUCCGAGUAGCUGGGACUACAGGCGCAUGCCACCACACCUGACUAACUUUUCUAUUUUUAGUAGAGACGGGGUUUUGCCAUGUUGACCAGGCUGGUCUUGAACUCCUGGCCUCAAGUGAUCCACCCAUCUCAGCCUCCCAAAGUGCUGGGAUUACAGGCGUGAGCCACUGCACCCGGCCAACAUAAACAUUUUUAUGUGAAUCCUCCUAGAUGUAUUAUGUAUAUCAUGUUAAAAUGAGCUUUCACACUAUUAUUGAUACAUUCUUGAUAUUAGUUGAGAUAUUGUAUAGCAAUAAGUUUUCAGCCACUUUUAAAGGGGGAUUAAUUUAUGUAGACAUGAAUCUAUUCUUUAAGUUUCUCAAAUAUAUUAUUUGUUGUGGAAAAGAGUCUAUUUCUAUCACCCAUCUAUCUAAUCUAGCUUUUUUUUUUUUAGCUAGCUAGCUUCCCUGGGUCUGGACCCCUUCCUUUAUUUUGGGAAGUCCCAUGGCUGAACCUGACUUUCAUGGUAGAAGCUGAAAAUACCAGAUACAUGUUCCUUAACCUGGCUUGCAGUUAGGGUCCAGGGUCCAGAGUGCAACAGCUGCAGGGGAGGUGAGCCCACCAAUCUAGUCUGUGACCUAAUUUUUGCUCCUGUCCUGGCUGCUGCCUAGUCUCUCUUAUUCCUGUCUAUUUUCUUAGCCUGUAUCUCCGUAUUUUGGUGAUUCUGAAAACUACCCAGAAAUCCUUUAGAAAAUACUUUCCUUCUUAAAUGAGCCAGUCUUUUUGUUACUCACAACUCAGAACGCCGAUCCAUAGAGCACUCUUCUCAGUUUCACCCAGAAAAUAGAAGAUCUAAUUGUCUUCAGUAGGAUAGUGAGCCAUCUGGAUUUUAACCCUCUCCCAGGGGCCUAGGAAUUUAGACCCAGAAAGAAUUCUGGAGAUGGUUUUGUCAUCUGCAUAGAUUGAGGACAAUCAUGCACUAUAGUGGAAAGAGCACCAGGCUCGGAGCCAGAAGAAGCCCUGGAUUCAAGGUCUUACUGUCACUCUUAGCUGUGAGAUAUUGAGAAAAUCAGUCAAUUUCUUGGGCUAUAUUUGUAUGUAUAUGUAAAUUUGUGUGUAUCUGUCUAUGACCUCUAGAGUGAGGGACUUAAACUUGAAUUUCCUCCGCAUUAGAAGAUCUUUGAUUUUAAUCAGAUCCAGAAACUUUAGACUUCACAUUAUAGCUCCUAAUUCUGAAUUCUCAGUCCUAGUAAUUACAUAAUGCUAAGUAAGUAUAAAUAAUAAUUUGAAAAUCAAAGAAAUAAAAAGGGAAUCAAUCUAUAUUCUUCUUUUGCAAGUUUAAACUCAUUUGACCUUUUGAUGAAUCAGUAGCCCCACAGAUACCCGACUGGAAUAAUUUAUAUGGAUGAAAGGACAUUUACGCUCAGGUUCAUAGCUAAACACAUGAAUUACGCUUUCACAAUUAUAAAUUAUUUGUUUCCUCUAUGGUAGCUUCUUACGUUAUGAAAGAAAGCUCUUAAAUGUUAUUAAUAAGUAUCUGUGUUACCUGUGAUGCCUUUCCCUACAGUCUCUCAAGGACUCAAAAUCUUAUCUCAGGUGAAACUUUGAAGAUAUAAUUGACCUGUACGUUCAUAGUUAAGCACAAGUCAGUCAACGUUAUACUAUCCAGUUUAGAUGUUUGUGUAAUGAGUACUUUCAUCUGCUUCCUUUGAUGUAUAACCGAUUAGUGACAGCAGCAUAAAUAUUCAUAGCAUUUUCCUACUGGACAGAAUCUAGUCCAACUUCUAUGUUUUACAGAUGAGACUAAAGAGACUGAGAAAUUAAGUGACUUGUCCAAGAUCACGUAACUAUCUUCAAGUUGAGUGGUAAAUCUAAGACUAGAACCCAGGGCUUAUUAUACCUUAAGCAAUAUGAUGUCUAAGGCAGUGUUUCUCAAUGGCUGUUGAGACCCAGAGCCUUGUUCAUAGUGGGUACUCAAUCACUAAAUGCUGACUGUCAAUAGAUUUUAGUACAGUGUAAUUUCUGCUAUGACAUGUGUACUGAGGAAUCAAAGAAAAUACUCAGGAGUUAAAUUUUUAAAAACAGAAUUGAAUAUUUUAAUUCUGGGAGACUGUGAUUUAUUUUGGUACUUAGGUUUUAGAUUCAGGCUUCAAGUUGCUAAAAUCUCAAACUGUUAAUACUAUAUUGAAAUAGAUGAUAACUGACCCAAUGUCUUUCAUUCUGAAAGCUCAGGUUGGUGUAGGAUGAUAGUGACAUUGCUUGUCUCUUUAAAUAACUAAUAAGAAUAUUAAUGUUGAUGUAAAGCAGGUGGUGGGGCCAUUUAACGUGUGCUCUGAUUAACAGGCCAUUGCUAUUCUGUCAAGGUAUUUGACAUACACACACCGUGGCUCAGUGAUGAUGCUCUCUUCUUGUUUGGAGGCAUGGUUUGCAUAUCCAUCAUAGUUCAUGACUGACAAUCUAGAGGUUGGAGCUAACAUUGAAAAACAUAUUGAUUAUUAUGGGACCAAGUGUUUCCCAAAU